UAUCCAAUUUUUCAAAAUUUCUUAGUCCCACAUAAUUUCUAAACCCUAAAUUCCAUCCUAAUAUCCCCCUAUGUAAUCUCUCUCAAUCAUCACAAUGAGUUCAAGAAUUGUUAACAAGCAAGAACCCAAAAAAAAAAGGUUUUUGCUAUAAUAUUUCAAAUGGGGUUUUUGAUGUUUUGACUUUUGACGGAAUAUUUUAUACCUUUUACAAGAAAUAAUUAGGCAUUUUCAAGCAACUAU
rnacentral:lncRNA from 1 species